GUUGAUUUGAGGGUAGGGAUAACUUUUUUAGCAGUUUUGAUCUUCUCUGUUUUGAUCUUCUCUUCUUUCUGAUUCAUCAAUUGUUCACCAUCAUUUCAAGUAAACAAAGCUCAUCAUAGUUGAGAUCACUGGCCAAAGUUCCACUAUAGCAGUGGGAAACACAAUUGACUCAUUGCAGGAGAACAGGGCACACCGUUGAUAAAUGUUACAAGUUACGUGGCUAUCCUAACCAGAACACCAAUUGUACUGGACAAUCUUUCAAUUAGAAAGAUACACCAAUACUCGGAAUCAAAGAUCAACAAUCAAAACCACAAGUUUCUAAGGGUAAAGGAGUAGUAGCUAAUGUUUUUGCAGAUGAUAUAAGAGUAAUUGAUGAAUCUCCAUAUGCCAAUCUCAGUAGUGAACAAUAUAGCCAACUUAUUAGUCUAUUGCAGCAUUUUCAGUUGGGGAAAAUAGGAGAUGGAAACAAUGCGGAGUUCCAAACUUUGCAGGGCCUUUCAUUGAAGAGCCCUCUGGAGAUUGGUAGAGCACAAGAUGGAUUAUAUUUCCUUUGUUCACACUAUCUACUAAAGAUCUCAUCCAUCCCUUAACAAUUAAUUACAGUUCAAUCAGUUCAAUGCCCUUCUUUCCAUAACAAUAAAAUAGUCUCUCCUUGUCAAUGUUUGCAAUUUGACUUCACAUAACAAUUCUGGUUCAUUUUCCAAUGUAAGAAGUCUGUUUUUUCAUUCUGUUUCAAAUGUAAUGAACACCAUUCCAAGUAAUGCACACAAUGUUGUUUCUGAUUCUAUGUUCCAUCCACAGCAUACAAAGUACAAUGAUCUGCUAUGGCAUUACAGGCUAGUCCAUGUACCAUUUAUAAAAAUGAAGGGCAUCGCAUCAAUCCCUGUGAAAUUUUCCCCUAAGCAGUCUUUCAUUUGCAACAUAUGCAGUAUGGCUAGAUAGACCAGACUACUCUUCUACCCAAAACUCACCUACAUCUAAACUGUUUGAAUUACUUCAUGUUGAUCUUUGGGGACCCUACCAUGUACCUACUCUUGAAAAUUUCAAUAUACUUCAUUACCCUAGUUGAUGAGUUUAGUAGAUGCACUUGGACACAUCUACUAAGUUGUAAAAGCAAUGCAUUGCACAUCUUCAAAUCUUUUGCCAAUAUGGUUGAAAACCAGUUCAAUACAACAAUUCAAACCAUAAGAUCAUACAAUGGUCUUGAAUUUGUAAACCAAGAAUCCAUCAUGUACUUUAUGUCCAAGGGAAUACUUCACCGAAAAUCAUGCCCUUUCACACAAAAAAUCAUGCCGAUUUGAUCUUAACCAUUUUCUAAUCUUGUUCUUGUAAUGUUGUACCAUAGCCAACCUUCUUCUCACCUCUUAACACUUCAAGCUGCUGCUCUUUGGUGCAAUCAAGAAGUAUGAUGGAGACGCAUGCAACCAGGAUCAGUAUCCAGCGCCUCGUUGACCAAGUUUCAGCACUCAGAGUCACUGGUGAACCUCCUUAAAUUAUGGAGUAUCCUUGUUAUUGCUUUUCAAUCUUUCAUUUAGAAAAUGUUGUGGGAUUUGUCGCAACAUUCAUCAUAGUAUUUUCAGAGGCUCCAUAGACAAAUACUCAGUUAGUUUAGUUGAGUCUCUUUUAUUUCAGAUAUUAUAUUUUGAGACUUAAGUGUAAUUUUGACCAAGACACUAAUUUAAGUUAUUUAUGAGAAUGUUCUUGCU